AUUGAACGCUGGCGGCGUGCUUAACACAUGCAAGUCGUGCGGUAACAGGCGUAGCAAUACGUGCUGACGAGCGGCGAACGGGUGCGUAAUACAUGGGAAUCUGCCCUUUAGUGGGGAAUAACCCGGCGAAAGCCGGGCUAAUGCCGCAUAAGAUCUUCGGAUGAAAGCGGGGGAUCGUAAGACCUCGCGCUGAUGGAUGAGCCCAUGUCGGAUUAGCAGUUGGUGAGGUAACGGCUCACCAAGGCGACGAUCCGUAGCUGGUCUGAGAGGACGGCCAGCCACACUGGGAUUGAGACACGGCCCAGACUCCUACGGGAGGCAGCAGUGGGGGAAUAUUGGACAAUGGGCGAAAGCCUGAUCCAGCGACGCCGCGUGUGUGAAGAAGGCCUGCGGGUUGUAAAGCACUUUCG
rnacentral:rRNA from 1 species